rnacentral:rRNA from 1 species
UACGUAGGGUGCAAGCGUUGUCCGGAAUUAUUGGGCGUAAAGAGCUCGUAGGCGGUCUGUCGCGUCUGCUGUGAAAACUCAGGGCUUAACCCUGAGCUUGCAGUGGGUACGGGCAGACUAGAGUGCGGUAGGGGAGACUGGAAUUCCUGGUGUAGCGGUGAAAUGCGCAGAUAUCAGGAGGAACACCGAUGGCGAAGGCAGGUCUCUGGGCAUUAACUGACGCUGAGGAGCGAAAAGCGUGGGGAGCAAACAGG